CAGCCGCCGCGGGAAUACGUAGGUCCCGAGCGUUAUCCGGAUUUAUUGGGCGUAAAGCGAGCGCAGGCGGUUAGAUAAGUCUGAAGUUAAAGGCUGUGGCUUAACCAUAGUACGCUUUGGAAACUGUUUAACUUGAGUGCAAGAGGGGAGAGUGGAAUUCCAUGUGUAGCGGUGAAAUGCGUAGAUAUACGGAGGGACACCGGUGGCGAAAGCGGCUCUCUGGCUUGUAACUGACGCUGAGGCUCGAAAGCGUGGGGAGCAAACAGGAUUAGAUACCCCCGUAGUCCCUGUCUCUUAUACA
rnacentral:rRNA from 1 species